rnacentral:rRNA from 1 species
GAAUUCGAUUAACGCGAAGAACCUUACCCAGGCUUGAACAGCGAGUGACCAGUCCCGAAAGGGAUCUUCCGCAAGGACACUCGUAGAGGUGCUGCAUGGCUGUCGUCAGCUCGUGUCGUGAGAUGUUGGGUUAAGUCCCGCAACGAGCGCAACCCUUGUUUGCUGUUGCCAUCACGUUAUGGUGGGCACUCUGCAAAGACUGCCGGUGAUAAACCGGAGGAAGGUGGGGAUGACGUCAAGUCAGCAUGGCCUUUAUGUCUGGGGCUACACACGUGCUACAAUGGCCGGUACAAACCGUCGCGAGCCCGCAAGGGGGAGCUAAUCGGAGAAAGCCGGUCUCAGUUCGGAUUGCAGGCUGCAACUCGCCUGCAUGUAGUUGGAAUCGCUAGUAAUCGCGGAUCAGCACGCCGCGGUGAAUACGUUCCCGGGCCUUGUCACACCGAAUCACUA